CUACGGGGUGCUGCAGUAGGGAAUUUUCGGCAAUGGGGGAAACCCUGACCGAGCAACGCCGCGUGAAUGACGAAGUACUUCGGUAUGUAAAGUUCUUUUAUUAGGGAAGAAUGGCAGGUGGAAAAACCUGAUUGACGGUACCUAAUGAAUAAGCCCCGGCUAACUAUGUGCCAGCAGCCGCGGUAAUACAUAGGGGGCAAGCGUUAUCCGGAAUUAUUGGGCGUAAAGGGUGCGUAGGUGGUUAUUUAAGUCUUUGGUGUAAGUGCAGUGCUUAACGCUGUGAUGCUAAAGAAACUGGGUAACUUGAGUGUGGUAGAGGCAAGUGGAAUUCCAGGUGUAGCGGUAAAAUGCGUAAAUAUAUGGAGGAACACCAGUGGCGAAGGCGGCUUGCUGGGCCACAACUGACACUGAGGCACGAAGGCGUGGGGAGCAAACAGGAUUAGAUACCCCAGUAGUC
rnacentral:rRNA from 1 species